rnacentral:rRNA from 1 species
GGUUCCUGUCCAACGUUAAUCGGGGCAGGGUGAGUCGACCCCUAAGGCGAGGCCGAAAGGCGUAGUCGAUGGGAAACAGGUUAAUAUUCCUGUACUUGGUGUUACUGCGAAGGGGGGACGGAGAAGGCUAUGUUGGCCGGGCGACGGUUGUCCCGGUUUAAGCGUGUAGGCUGGUUUUCCAGGCAAAUCCGGAAAAUCAAGGCUGAGGCGUGAUGACGAGGCACUACGGUGCUGAAGCAACAAAUGCCCUGCUUCCAGGAAAAGCCUCUAAGCAUCAGGUAACAUCAAAUCGUACCCCAAACCGACACAGGUGGUCAGGUAGAGAAUACCAAGGCGCUUGAGAGAACUCGGGUGAAGGAACUAGGCAAAAUGGUGCCGUAACUUCGGGAGAAGGCACGCUGAUAUGUAGGUGAAGUCCCUCGCGGAUGGAGCUGAAAUCAGUCGAAGAUACCAGCUGGCUGCAACUGUUUAUUAAAAACACAGCACUGUGCAAACACGAAAGUGGACGUAUACGGUGUGACGCCUGCCCGGUGCCGGAAGGUUAAUUGAUGGGGUUAGCGCAAGCGAAGCUCUUGAUCGAAGCCCCGGUAAACGGCGGCCGUAACUAUAACGGUCCUAAGGUAGCGAAAUUCCUUGUCGGGUAAGUUCCGACCUGCACGAAUGGCGUAAUGAUGGCCAGGCUGUCUCCACCCGAGACUCAGUGAAAUUGAACUCGCUGUGAAGAUGCAGUGUACCCGCGGCAAGACGGAAAGACCCCGUGAACCUUUACUAUAGCUUGACACUGAACAUUGAGCCUUGAUGUGUAGGAUAGGUGGGAGGCUUUGAAGUGUGGACGCCAGUCUGCAUGGAGCCGACCUUGAAAUACCACCCUUUAAUGUUUGAUGUUCUAACGUUGACCCGUAAUCCGGGUUGCGGACAGUGUCUGGUGGGUAGUUUGACUGGGGCGGUCUCCUCCUAAAGAGUAACGGAGGAGCACGAAGGUUGGCUAAUCCUGGUCGGACAUCAGGAGGUUAGUGCAAUGGCAUAAGCCAGCUUGACUGCGAGCGUGACGGCGCGAGCAGGUGCGAAAGCAGGUCAUAGUGAUCCGGUGGUUCUGAAUGGAAGGGCCAUCGCUCAACGGAUAAAAGGUACUCCGGGGAUAACAGGCUGAUACCGCCCAAGAGUUCAUAUCGACGGCGGUGUUUGGCACCUCGAUGUCGGCUCAUCACAUCCUGGGGCUGAAGUAGGUCCCAAGGGUAUGGCUGUUCGCCAUUUAAAGUGGUACGCGAGCUGGGUUUAGAACGUCGUGAGACAGUUCGGUCCCUAUCUGCCGUGGGCGCUGGAGAACUGAGGGGGGCUGCUCCUAGUACGAGAGGACCGGAGUGGACGCAUCACUGGUGUUCGGGUUGUCAUGCCAAUGGCACUGCCCGGUAGCUAAAUGCGGAAGAGAUAAGUGCUGAAAGCAUCUAAGCACGAAACUUGCCCCGAGAUGAGUUCUCCCUGACCCUUUAAGGGUCCUGAAGGAACGUUGAAGACGACGACGUUGAUAGGCCGGGUGUGUAAGCGCAGCGAUGCGUUGAGCUAACCGGUACUAAUGAACCGUGAG